UGAUGAUGAUGAUGAUGAUGAUGAUGAUGAUGAUGAUGAUGAUGAUGAUGAUGAUGAUGAUGAUGAUGAUCAUAUGGAUGUGCGGUAAUGCAACUAAAAUGUUCUGUAUCGCAACGCGCUUGUUCGGUAAAGCAACUCUUGUUCGUUAUUGCAACUUUUUUGUUCGCUAUUGCAACUCCGUGUUCGGUUUUGUAACUUGAAUAAUUUUGUUUUUUUUAUUAAGUUGUUACGUCGUCAGCCGGCUCAAAAUAAUUUUCGUUCAAAGUUAAUUGAGCAGACAAAAAUUUGUUUGACAUUAAAGAUUUGUUAUCAAAACAACAUUUAAAGUUUAAAAAUCAAAUAUCUUCAACAACUACAACACAAACUAAUUUGCGUGGUUUCAAAAACUGUAUCAAUUUGAUUCUGUAUAUUUGUACAAAGAUAUCAUGAGUGUCUUGUUCCAGCAAUAAAGUCGUAUAUGAAAGAUUUAAAAAGCUUCAUCAACUUACAACAACAGACUCUAGAUUCCAAUAUUAGACUAAAUUUAGACUUAAAAAGUUGAGACAAAAUCCUGAAGAUUUAAUUAGAAAAAAAUGUGUUUUGAGUUUAUAUUGUAAAUAUGUUACUAUUGAGAAAGUUUAUCAAAUUGCAUUUGCAUGCA